UUCACACCCAAUUUUGUUUCUUAAUACUAUGUGAAUUAUUUGGGGCAACGAGAACAAACAAGUCAGUUUAAUUUCAAAUUGGUUUCUCAAUACAAACCCUGAAAUUCUACUCAUGAACACAAACAACUACACUGCAGGUUCACUUCCAAAUGGGUUUCUCAAUGCAAACCCUUAAAUUCUAAUUUAUCUUCUCUGAAUUCCGAUCCAUCUCAUCAUAAUGUCAUUUCUUCAAUUUUCAGGUACCUGAGAUAGUGGUGCUUCGCACAAGGAUUAGAUUCGGAGGCUAGUUCUUAUUGUGUAUUUACUAGGUAGUCUAUAGUGCUCUGGUCAUGUAACACUUGGGUUUAUGGGAUUAUUUAUAUUUGUUUUGAUGUUGAGAGAUAUUUUUGUGCUUUCUUUUAUCUUGUUAUUUGGAUAUGUUGGUUUUGAUGUUGAGUGGCCUUAGAGCCCAAAAUGAUAUUUUGUGGUAGAUGAUUUAUGGGAAUCAUCACUAUUUACCAUUUAUGAAGAGAGGUGUUAUUCCGA